AUUGUACAAUUGUACACACUUAUCACUUUAAAGCAAAAACAACAGUCAGUGUUAAACAUUCUAAAAAUUUUUAAAACGAUGAAUAUUUUUACAACAGUGUUGAUUUUAAGUUUGUGCAUCUUGCAACUUAGUUUUGCUCGCACCAACUUAAAAUGGACACUUAUGAAACCGCACCCUUGGCGAAAGGUUGGAAGGUGCUACCACGAAGAUUACGGCCACCUUUCCGUUGGAAAAACCGAAAUUGAAGGAAAAUGUAUGGCUUUGAGGUGCCACCCGGACGGCAGUGUCACACUUUUCGAGUGUGGCCCACGUAUUUUUAAGGGCAUGAGACGGUGUGUGAGGGAGAAACCACUAGAACCCUGGAAACCGUUCCGACAGUGUUGUCCAGUGCAUUGUCCAGAGAUGGGCAACCACUACAUGUAAUUAUUAGGCUAAAAGGGGUAUUGUACGUUUUUUAUGUAAAUAAAGGUGAAAGGUGGGCGUUUGUUUGUGUUCCAAAAAUAAAAAGUAAAAAAAUUAUGGCAGUUUCAGUAUUAAUUUUUCUCAUGUCAAAUCACGUACUUAAAAAACUUUAUUAAAACUUAUGGCUCACAAUCAAAUAUCUGGUGAUAACUUAUAUAAAGUUUUAAAUCUCUCUCAAAAAUUAUACACACAAGCCGAGCCAUGAAGCUGUUUUUGCCAAUCUUGUUCUUGAGUUUGUACACAUUCAAACUUAGUUUUGGCGCUGGUAAUGUAAAAUUCACUCUUCAUAAACCGCAUCCUUGGCGAAAGGUCGGAGGGUGCUAUUACGAGGAAUAUGGUCAUCUAAGGGUUGGGAUAACUGACCCUAAGGGGCAAUGUAUGGCUCUGAAGUGUCAUCCUGAUGGAAGUGUGACAGUAUUUGAAUGUGGUCCACGUAUCUUCAAAGGGCUUUGGCGAUGUAAGGAAAAACCGUUCGAGCCCUUGAAACCUUGGCGUGAGUGUUGUCCAAUACACUGUGCCGACAAAGACAACCACUACAUGUGAUUGUAAUUCUCUUCGUAUUCAAAUAAAUCAUUAAA